GAUGAAGAACGCAGCGAAAUGCGAUACUUGGUGUGAAUUGCAGAAUCCCGUGAACCAUCGAGUCUUUGAACGCAAGUUGCGCCUCAAGCCAUUAGGUUGAGGGCACGUCUGCCUGGGCGUCACAUAUCGUUGCCUGAUGCCAGUUUCCUCGUGAUGGGUGACUGUGCAGGGCGAAUGAUGGCUUCCCGUGAGCAUUGUUGCCUCAUGGUUGGUUGAAAAUUGAGUCCUUGGUAGGGAGCGCCGUGAUAGAUGGUGGUUGAGUGACAAACGAGACCCAAUCAUGUGAGACCCCUACCGAAUUUGGCCUUCAUGAACCACAUGCGUCUUUGGAACGCUCAUGACGAGACCUCAGGUCAGGCGGGGCUACCCGCUGAGUUUAAGCAUAUCAAUAAGCUGAGGA
rnacentral:misc_RNA from 1 species